rnacentral:ncRNA from 1 species
UUGUUUUCGGGGCGGGGUGCAAUUCCCUACCGGCGGUAUUCUGUGACAGCAGUAAGCCCGCGAGCCUGCGCUAAGGCGCAAGCAUGAUUUGGUGAGAAUCCAAAGCCGACAGUAUAGUCUGGAUGAGAGAAGAC